UUUAUCGGAGAGUUUGAUCCUGGCUCAGGACGAACGCUGGCGGCGUGCCUAAUACAUGCAAGUCGAGCGGACAGAUGGGAGCUUGCUCCCUGAUGUUAGCGGCGGACGGGUGAGUAACACGUGGGUAACCUGCCUGUAAGACUGGGAUAACUCCGGGAAACCGGGGCUAAUACCGGAUGCUUGUUUGAACCGCAUGGUUCAAACAUAAAAGGUGGCUUCGGCUACCACUUACAGAUGGACCCGCGGCGCAUUAGCUAGUUGGUGAGGUAACGGCUCACCAAGGCAACGAUGCGUAGCCGACCUGAGAGGGUGAUCGGCCACACUGGGACUG
rnacentral:rRNA from 1 species